rnacentral:lncRNA from 10 species
UAAGUACUCUCCACCAAUGUAGUCCCCUAGGAGGGGAGGGGUUCAGGAGAGAGGAGAAAAAAACAGAAGAGAAUUAACAUGAAUUAAGCAAAGAUUCUGGGCCAGGCACCAAAGCUAAGGAGCUUCAUACGUUAUCUCUUUAAUCUCCUCAAAACUUUGAGAAUGGAUCAUUGUUAGCUCAUUUUACAAACAGGAAAAUGAAAGAUUUGAAAGAUGCUCCUUUUGUCUGGAAGCUUCAGCUAUAUGCCAUCUCAAGUUCCAUCUUCCUGGAAAACCCUUGUAAAUCCACCACUGUUAGGCUUAGCCAUCAUCUCCUUGAUGAAGCCUAUCCCUGACCUCUGCCC